CUGCCAUUUUUGCUGCCCCCACAGACGUGUGGUCAGUUUCUGGGAGACAACUGGGAUGUUCAAGUUGCCAGUGAAGAUAAAUUACCUGCAGAUUGCAGCUCAAAUUCUGCUCUGACUGAGUAGCACCAAGAAAUUCUCCAACUUUGCACAGAUGACCAAACAAACCAGCUGGAGCCCUUGUUCUCCCCGAGCACUGGAGGAUGCAUUUCGCAGGCCGGCUUUGAGGACACCUUCAGACACAGCAUGGCACCCGCUGCAGCUCCACACCAAGGUCCUGCUGCUUUCAAGAGCUGGUAUUAACAGAGAGAUGAAUUCAAGUGCUGGACUGAUCUGGUCAUGGAGUAGAAAAAGAUUCUGACACCCCUGCUCUCUUCUUCUCCAGAGUAUGCUCUGUUGGAAAAGUAUAAUCUUCAUGUGAAGUGUUAGAAAAGACUCUCCAUCUUAUGUACAUAUGGAAGCCAAGGACCAUGCUCUUCAGAGUCUCACACUCUGAUGUACUUCCAGGUUUGCAGCAAUCCACCUCCCCUCCCCCAGUUUGUUUGGAACAGCAGUUCCACUUUUUGUGGGAUGAUUACAGAUUAUUCUCCAAUCCAUGGCAUUAAGAGGAUGAACAUUCUUGCAAAGAUUUUUAUCACCUUCGAGUCCCUAUGGUGAGUUUGCCCCAAUACAAGAGAGCUUUUAUUACCAAAGUGUAGUACGUUUAUGAAACCCAGGUGUGUUCUGGUCUCACACAAGGUGGCUGGCACUCCUAGAAAAAGCAAAUUUUUACCAUCUGAGACAUUAAAAAUCCCUUCCUACCCUCCUAGAAGAGGACUCAAGAGUGAGGUGAGGCAGGGGCAUGUCUUGCUUUUGCUCCUCAGCUUCUGCCAAACAGUCCUGCUGAUGCUGUAGCUGUCAUUAUUUCCACAAUUAAGGAAUUUUAAGGAAUUUUCCUUUAUAAAACACUUUGCAAAUGAAAGGAUAAGAACUGCAGUCAGACACAGGAAAUUCAAAAUACUUCACUA